AGAGUUUGAUCCUGGCUCAGGAUGAACGCUAGCGGGAGGCCUAACACAUGCAAGCCGAGCGGUAGAUUACUUUCGGGUAAUUGAGAGCGGCGUACGGGUGCGGAACACGUGUGCAACCUGCCUUUAUCAGGGGGAUAGCCUUUCGAAAGGAAGAUUAAUACCCCAUAAUAUAUUAUUCGGCAUCGGGUGAUAUUGAAAACUACGGUGGAUAGAGAUGGGCACGCGCAAGAUUAGCUAGUUGGUGAGGUAACGGCUCACCAAGGCGACGAUCUUUAGGGGGCCUGAGAGGGUGAUCCCCCACACUGGUACUGAGACACGGACCAGACUCCUACGGGAGGCAGCAGUGAGGAAUAUUGGACAAUGGGUGGAAGCCUGAUCCAGCCAUCCCGCGUGCAGGAAGACGGCCCUAUGGGUUGUAAACUGCUCUUAUCUGGGGAUAAACCUACUUACGUGUAAGUAGCUGAAGGUACCAGAAGAAUAAGCACCGGCUAACUCCGUGCCAGCAGCCGCGGUAAUACGGAGGGUGCAAGCGUUAUCCGGAUUUAUUGGGUUUAAAGGGUCCGUAGGCGGACUGAUAAGUCAGUGGUGAAAUCCGACAGCUUAACUGUCGAACUGCCAUUGAUACUGUUAGUCUUGAGUAAGGUUGAAGUGGCUGGAAUAAGUAGUGUAGCGGUGAAAUGCAUAGAUAUUACUUAGAACACCAAUUGCGAAGGCAGGUCACUAAGUCUUAACUGACGCUGAUGGACGAAAGCGUGUGGAGCGAACAGGAUUAGAUACCCUGGUAGUCCACGCCGUAAACGAUGAUUACUCGUUUUUGGGUUUUAUGAUUCAGAGACUAAGCGAAAGUGAUAAGUAAUCCACCUGGGGAGUACGUUCGCAAGAAUGAAACUCAAAGGAAUUGACGGGGGCC
rnacentral:rRNA from 1 species